AAAUACAGUUGGAUGACUUUUGCCUCCCAGUGAUGUGUUUCUCCUGCUUUCAGUUGUGAUCCAAGUUGGAAAUGGAGUGGAGUUGAACUCUCUGAUCCUAAAAGCAAGAGUCUCUACUGUCAGGGAUAACUCUGCUAUCCUGCCUUCUAGAACAUCUUCAGCCUCUUUAUAUCCAUGCUUCAUGACCAGGGAGGGAAAUUGCUGCAUUAUUGACUUGUGAUGCCCUCUUAAUCCUACCUUAAGAAUGUCUCAGCCUGAUCAGCACUUUUUGAAGAAUGUGGAGCCAAUGUCUCUGCUAAUCCAGGUAAAUCAGCCAUAUCUGGAGACAGACAGACAGAGGAGGAAGGAAGCAAAGCUAUUAAAACCAAAGAAGGCCUGUUUCAGGACUAAAAGGCCUGAGGUACUGAUUUAUAGGAGGAGAGUUGCCUUUCAGUCAUUUUUAAUGGAAUAUUAUUAAAGGAAAAUCAGGAGCUGUGAAACCUUUUGUGUCUCAUCUCCUAAUGUAUUUAUUUCUGCAGCAGGGAACCCUGUUAA